rnacentral:rRNA from 1 species
UACGUAGGGGGCAAGCGUUGUCCGGAAUCAUUGGGCGUAAAGAGCGUGUAGGCGGCCCGGUAAGUCCGCUGUGAAAGUCCAGGGCUCAACCCUGGAAUGCCGGUGGAAACUGUCGGGCUAGAGUCCGGAAGAGGCGAGUGGAAUUCCUGGUGUAGCGGUGAAAUGCGCAGAUAUCAGGAGGAACACCGGUGGCGAAGGCGGGUCUCUGGGCCGAUAUUGACGCUGAGGAGCGAAAGCGUGGGGAGCGAACAGG